UGUUCUGCAUAUAUCGUGAAGARAAGAUUGAUCUGGAGGCUUCCAGGUGUUUUGGGUUUAGGCCCGAGGCGUCCGAAGCCGGUUCCAAUGAUGUCGUUGAUGGUCUAGCCGACCGGAAACGAAAGAGGAGCCGGAUGUAGGAAGGAAGCUUGUCCUGAGGCAUUGUUGUUGUUUGAAGGCUUUGGCUUUCAUCUGACCGACGGUGCUGGAUUGGCGUUGCCUGACCGCGCGCCACCGGAUUUGAUCUCGAGAAGCUGGUCUUAAGACAGACUGUGAAGCGAGCUGCUCGGCGUAGCUCCAAUGAAGCAGAUCUGUCGAACACGUCGAUGGCAUCAUUAGAAAGCGUGAUUGUAAAAGGUAAUCACGCAUUGUUGGUCUUYGGAUUUGAUUGUGCGGCAACUGAGAGGUUGUUCGGAUGAUCGGAUUUGGCACGCCCGCAAGGUCGCAAGCCGAGCGGAUGCGGUUUUCCAAAUCCAACAAAGAUGAUGAGCAUUGGCAAUGAGAACGAUUAAGUGUCGUAAGGGCAUUUGGUGGAUGCCUUGGCAUGCACAGGCGAUGAAGGACGUGAUACGCUGCGAUAAGCCGU
rnacentral:misc_RNA from 1 species